GACGAACGCUGGCGGCGUGCCUAAUACAUGCAAGUUGAGCGCUGAAGGUUUGUACUUGUACCGACUGGAUGAGCAGCGAACGGGUGAGUAACGCGUGGGGAAUCUGCCUUUGAGCGGGGGACAACAUUUGGAAACGAAUGCUAAUACCGCAUAAAAACUUUAAACACAAGUUUUAAGUUUGAAAGAUGCAAUUGCAUCACUCAAAGAUGAUCCCGCGUUGUAUUAGCUAGUUGGUGAGGUAAAGGCUCACCAAGGCGAUGAUACAUAGCCGACCUGAGAGGGUGAUCGGCCACAUUGGGACUGAGACACGGCCCAAACUCCUACGGGAGGCAGCAGUAGGGAAUCUUCGGCAAUGGACGAAAGGCUGAACGAGCAACGCCGCGUGAGUGAAGAAGGUUUUCGGAUCGUAAAACUCGGUUGGUAGAGAAGAACGUUGGUGAGAGUGGAAAGCUCAUCAAGUGACGGUAACUACCCAGAAAGGGACGGCUAACUACGUG
rnacentral:rRNA from 1 species